ensembl:lncRNA
CGCUCGGCUGCGAGACAGAGCCGUGCCGGAGCCGCCCACCCCCGCGGAGCAGCGCAGACAGAACCCUCCCCGCGCUCUCAAAGUGGAGGUUCUGAUUACUGCGGGGCGCAGGAGCUGACAGCCGCCUCGUGCGGGAGCUCCUUACCCGUCUGCCUCCACAAAGAUGUUCGGAGGAAAAGGUCAGCUCCUCUGGGCCCAGCACUCGAGCACGUCUGCAGCAAGAGGCUGUACCAGCACAGGUGGGGAGGAAUCGCCUGCCCUGCCAUGCUCUGCUCUGCUCCCGGGUUGCAGUGUUUGCAGGGCUCCCAGCCCUUCCUUUCUCCAUACCCCGUCCCCAUCCCGUGCUGCACAGGGCAGGACCCUUCGCUGCAGGUUCAGAAGUGACACCCCAAGUCUUAGAGGCAAAGCAAUCGCCCUAAGAGAGCAUUGCUCAUUGCAGCAUCAGCAGCUCUCUCGUUUGGCUUUACUGCUUGGGCAGUUCUGGAAGCCAUCCCCAUCCCGAGUCCAUUUCAUUUCAGA